rnacentral:lncRNA from 1 species
CUCAGACCGGGACUAGCCUUCCCAUGCACAUUGUCGUACAUUGUGACUCCGUGUUCUUGUUGGUUAAGGUUCUAAAUACAAAACUGGCACUUAUGGGUGAAGAAGGGAAAGGAGACGAAGACAAAGUCAGGGAGUCAAAAUGCCUGUGGCAGAACAGUGGCAGCUCUUAGGAUGGCUGUGACACAGGAUGAGUCAAGGAAACACGGGAAGGAAAUCUGCCUGGAAGUCAAAAACUCAGCUGCUGAAAUUGGAACCACCCCUGGAGAUAGCGCUUGUCUCCUUAGAGACAAGCAAGGGUGCUAAAAACAGGAAGUGGUGUUUGCUUAGGACCAGGAGGGGCUGGCACUUGCUUAGGACGCGGAGGGACUGCAGUUUACCUGCAUAGCCACUCCUGUCUUACCCCCAAACCCAAAAGAUGGUCCUCAUGAAACCUUGGCAAUUUCAUUUAAUAAAGGAAAUCCUUUAAAAAAAAAAAAAGA